CUCCGAGGCCACGUGAGCACGAACUUUAGGUGCCUUCACGGAAGUGACGUCAGGAAGCGAUGGCGGCCCGUGCUGCUCUCCAGUGUCGGAUUUAAACUGUAUUUAGUGACGGUGUUGCUCGUGUCUCCGGUGUGAAUCCCUCCUCUCGGACUCCAGGGUUAUGGUGGACAUGAUCAAGACGCGCCAGUGUCUGCUCGGCGCGCGCUCUUUCCUCGCACUGACCUCCAGAAUAUGGAGCUUGUUCUUGUACAUCCUCAGGAAGCACAUACGAACGAUAAUCCAGUAUCAAACAGUGCGCUACGACAUCUUACCAUUGUCACCUCUAUCCAGAAACAGACUCGACGGCGUGAAGCGAAAGAUCUUAGUUUUAGAUCUGGACGAGACGUUGAUCCACUCGCAUCACGAUGGCGUUCUCAGACCUACGGUGCGGCCAGGAACACCGCCAGACUUCAUCCUCAAAGUGGUGAUAGACAAACAUCCGGUGCGAUUCUUUGUGCAUAAAAGGCCUCAUGUGGACUUCUUCCUGGAGGUGGUCAGUCAGUGGUAUGAGUUGGUGGUGUUCACUGCUAGUAUGGAGAUCUACGGCUCUGCAGUAGCUGAUAAACUGGAUAACAACAAGGGAAUCCUCAAAAGAAGAUACUACAGACAGCACUGUACGCUGGAUUCAGGUAGUUAUAUUAAAGACCUGUCCGUCAUACAUGCUGACUUAUCAAGUAUAGUCAUUCUUGACAACUCGCCGGGAGCGUAUCGCAGUCAUCCAGAUAAUGCAAUACCUAUAAAGUCGUGGUUUAGUGACCCAAGCGACACAGCACUUCUUAACCUGCUGCCCAUGCUGGAUGCACUAAGAAAUGCAUGGAUUUGCUAAAUGAGGACUUUAUUCACGCCCCGGAGCCACGUGAGGCAUGUUUUAUCUCAGAUGUGCACUGUUUAUUUGACGUCUUGUGGACUGUUGAAAAAAAAAAAAAACACUCACUCACUGCAACGAUAGAGCUUGGAAUAGCCAGGACAUUUUUAAUAUAACUCUGACCGGAUUCGUCUGAAAGAAGACAGACGUAUACACCUGGGCUGCCUCGAGGGUUCACAGCAGACGUACGGUCCGUCCUGAGCAGGAACCUCCACCAGCAUCGACUCUGGUGAUCAUCCGGCCGAGGGCUUUCCUCAAGCCCGCUCUUCUUUUUAGUUUUUUUCCCAACUGCUUCCCUACGUGACAUCUGCCUGUCCGUUCUCCCUCGACUCUUCACCUCUCAGAAACGCCCUUAUGUAAGGGCCACAGGGAGGAGAGUCUGUCCCGAACUCAGAUGGGAUGGAAAAGGCAAAGUCUUUGGGAAGCUUUUUCCCUCCGUUUUUUUUCUUUUUUCAUUUCCCUUCUUCGAGAUGGAGUCUCUGCCUUACAGCUCUACCUGUGCUGAUCGCGUGUGUGAGUUAUGUUUGUGGUAUGUGUGUAUGAGGACAUUUGAAGAUAUUUGAGGCAAGAAAACAGACCUUUUCGUGACUCCGCUUGGGACGUCAUACCUCACUUUUAAAGGUGGAGAUCUGCUCAUAACUGGCCAGCAGCACUCUGCACAUCGAACAGAGUUCACUGGAAAACUCUUGUUGAGAUGGAUUAUGACGGACUGGUGGACUUCAGGGUCAUCAUGGUAGAGUUGUAUAUGCUGUUAUUAAGGUACAGUCUUGGAAGACAUGGGGUUUUAAUGACUUCUCAAUGGUAGACCUGUCCAAAUUCAUGGAUUAUGUGGCAGAUUCUUAAAUUUUAUUCUUUUGGUUAGUUCUCAUCUUGUUUUAUUCUGGGCAGUAAAUGAAAUUGUCAUGAUUAUCAGGGAGGAUGUAGUAGAUACGAGCUUUGAAGAAGCCAAAUGACAGAUUUUAAGCCUAUCUGCUCUGAUUCUUCUCUACAGAAUGUAUGUGGUAGGUUAUGAAAUCCUACCACUUGGACGCCUUUUUACAAAUGUGUUUUUUUUUCUCUAUCUCCUGAAAGUGUAAUAAUGGCAAGACUUGAAUUUAUAAAACUUCAUUGUAUUGAAGAGCCGACUGAGCAACAGACACCUUUUCUUUUCUUUACUCAAGGCUAUGGUGGUUUCUCUGCACCCUUCAGAUAAUGUCAGUUCUGUUCUCAUCAAUCUAACACUUGUCGAGUCUCGAGGCAGCUUCCUUGGACAAGUCCAUAGACCUGUGCACGUUUCUAAUAAAAACGUGUCACUAUA